rnacentral:rRNA from 1 species
GGAAAAGGAGGGGGAGGGAGGUGCGGGAAUGCGGAGGUAGGGGGGGUUAUCCGGAAUUAUUGGGCGUAAAGGGUGCGUAGGCGGCCGGUUAAGUUUAGGGUGAAAGCGUGGGGCUCAACCCCAUAAAGCCAUAGAUACUGGCAGGCUAGAGUACUGGAGAGGGUAGUGGAAUUCCAUGUGUAGCGGUAAAAUGCGUAGAUAUAUGGAGGAACACCGGUGGCGAAGGCGGCUACCUAGACAGAGACUGACGCUGAGGCACGAAAGCGUGGGGAGCAAAUAGGAUUAGAUACCCUAGUAGUC